rnacentral:rRNA from 1 species
GAUGGACGCUGGCGGCGUGCCUAAUACAUGCAAGUCGAGCGAACGGACGAGAAGCUUGCUUCUCUGAUGUUAGCGGCGGACGGGUGAGUAACACGUGGAUAACCUACCUAUAAGGCUGGGAUAACUUCGGGAAACCGGAGCUAAUACCGGAUAAUAUUUUGAACCGCAUGGUUCAAAAGUGAAAGACGGUCUUGCUGUCACUUAUAGAUGGAUCCGCGCUGCAUUAGCUAGUUGGUAAGGUAACGGCUUACCAAGGCAACGAUGCAUAGCCGACCUGAGAGGGUGAUCGGCCACACUGGAACUGAGACACGGUCCAGACUCCUACGGGAGGCAGCAGUAGGGAAUCUUCCGCAAUGGGCGAAAGCCUGACGGAGCAACGCCGCGUGAGUGAUGAAGGUCUUCGGAUCGUAAAACUCUGUUAUUAGGGAAGAACAUAUGUGUAAGUAACUGUGCACAUCUUGACGGUACCUAAUCAGAAAGCCACGGCUAACUACGUG